rnacentral:misc_RNA from 1 species
GAUGAGAACGCAGCGAAAUGCGAUAAGUAAUGUGAAUUGCAGAAUUCAGUGAAUCAUCGAAUCUUUGAACGCAUCUUGCGCUCCUUGGUAUUCUGAGGAGCAUGCCUGUUUGAGUGUCAUUAAAUUCUCAACUACACUGACUUUGAAUUGGUGUGGCUUGGAUUUGGGGGGAAAAUUGUUGUGGGCUUUUUGUAUAGUCUGCUCCCCUGAAAUUGAUUAGCGGUACCUUUGUGGAACUGUCUACAGGUGUGAUAAUUAUCUACAUCUUAGACAUCUGCUGGAAUGCUGCUUUCUAAACCUUACUUGUAUUGACAAUCUUGACCUCAAAUCAGGUAGGACUACCCGCUGAACUUAAGCAUAUCAAUAAGCGGAGGA